GACCUCGUAGUUCAGCUGGUAGAGUGUGCGCUGUCCAAAAGGCAAAGGCAGCGUCCAUGCGUGGGUUCGAAUCCCACCGAGGCUA
rnacentral:tRNA from 1 species